GGAAUCUUGCGCAAUGGGCGAAAGCCUGACGCAGCAACGCCGCGUGCGGGAAGAGGGCUUUCGGGCUGUAAACCGCUUUCAGUAGGAACGAAACUGACGGUACCUACAGAAGAAGGAGCGGCCAACUAUGUGCCAGCAGCCGCGGUGACACAUAGGCUCCAAGCGUUGUCCGGAUUUAUUGGGCGUAAAGAGCUCGUAGGCGGUUGAGUAAGUCGGGUGUGAAAACUUUGGGCUUAACCCAAAGAUGCCACUCGAUACUGCUUUGACUUGAGUUCGGUAGGGGAGUGGGGAAUUCCUUGUGUAGCGGUGAAAUGCGCAGAUAUAAGGAGGAACACCGGUGGCGAAGGCGCCACUCUGGGCCGAUACUGACGCUGAGGAGCGAAAGCGUGGGGAGCAAACAGGAUUAGAUACCCUGGUAGUCCACGCGGUAAACGGUGGUCACUAGGUGUGGGUCUCUUCAAACGAGAUCUGCGCCGUCGCUAACGCAUUAAGUGACCCGCCUGGGGAGUACGGUCGCAAGACUAAAACUCAAAGGAAUUGACGG
rnacentral:rRNA from 1 species